rnacentral:lncRNA from 1 species
GCCCACCUGCCCGCUCAGCUGGUUUCAGUCACUCACCUGAUGGGCCCUGAGGGCUUGGAGCUCGUGAUGCCUGGUGCAGGGCAGAGCAGGGCUGGGGAGUCAGCCCUCACUCAGAUGCUUGCUUUGAAGCUCACUGGCUGUAAGUAACCUGGGCAAAAUGACUCGUUCAGCCACACUCCCACUUACAUCAGAUGGAGGUGGACGGGAAGUUUAGGCAGAGGAAGGAAACCAAAUCACAGAAAGUCCUGUUCCUAUUCCUCAUAAAAUGUGGGUGGAAACGUGAGUGAGAAGAAAAAGGCAAAAUGCACCCACAGUAUCAAAAAGAGCCUGGCUUCAUGAUAAAGGGGAACAGUUUAGUUAAGAAGCAACUCGGAGAAACUUCCACCAAAGUCAUUAAGAGUUGG